CAGUAGCCACGGUAAUACGUAGGGUGCAAGCGUUAAUCGGAAUUACUGGGCGUAAAGCGUGCGCAGGCGGUUGUGCAAGACAGAUGUGAAAUCCCCGAGCUUAACUUGGGAACUGCAUUUGAAACUGGCAAGCUAGAGUCUUGUAGAGGGGGGUAGAAUUCCAGGUGUAGCGGUGAAAUGCGUAGAGAUCUGGAGGAAUACCGGUGGCGAAGGCGGCCCCCUGGACAAAGACUGACGCUCAGGUGCGAAAGCGUGGGGAGCAAACAGGAUUAGAUACCCCUGUAGUCCCUGUCUCUUAUAC
rnacentral:rRNA from 1 species